GACGAACCGAGCGAACGUUGUUCGGAAUAACUGGGCUUAAAGGGCGCGUAGGCGGGCCGCCAAGUUCGAGUUGAAAUCCUCCGGCUCAACCGGAGAACUGCCUCGAAUACUGGAGGCCUCGAGGCGGGUAGGGGCAUGCGGAACUGUGGGUGGAGCGGUGAAAUGCGUUGAUAUCCACAGGAACUCCGGUGGCGAAGGCGGCAUGCUGGACCCGAUCUGACGCUGAGGCGCGAAAGCCAGGGGAGCAAACGGG
rnacentral:rRNA from 1 species